rnacentral:rRNA from 1 species
UACGAAGGGGGCUAGCGUUGCUCGGAAUCACUGGGCGUAAAGCGCACGUAGGCGGAUCUUUAAGUCAGGGGUGAAAUCCUGGAGCUCAACUCCAGAACUGCCUUUGAUACUGGGGAUCUCGAGUCCGGAAGAGGUAAGUGGAACUCCGAGUGUAGAGGUGAAAUUCGUAGAUAUUCGGAAGAACACCAGUGGCGAAGGCGGCUUACUGGUCCGGUACUGACGCUGAUGCACGAAAGCGUGGGGAGCAAACAGG